AUUGAACGCUGGCGGCAUGCCUUACACAUGCAAGUCGAACGGUAACAGGUCUUCGGAUGCUGACGAGUGGCGCACGGGUGAGUAAUACACCGGAACGUGCCCGAUCGUGGGGGAUAACGGAGCGAAAGCUUUGCUAAUACCGCAUACGAUCUACGGAUGAAAGCAGGGGACCGCAAGGCCUUGCGCGGACGGAGCGGCCGAUGGCAGAUUAGGUAGUUGGUGGGAUAAAAGCUUACCAAGCCGACGAUCUGUAGCUGGUCUGAGAGGACGACCAGCCACACUGGGACUGAGACACGGCCCAGACUCCUACGGGAGGCAGCAGUGGGGAAUUUUGGACAAUGGGCGAAAGCCUGAUCCAGCCAUGCCGCGUGCAGGAUGAAGGCCUUCGGGUUGUAAACUGCUUUUGUACGGAACGAAAAGACUCUUUCUAAUAAAGAGGGUCCAUGACGGUACCGUAAGAAUAAGCACCGGCUAACUACGUG
rnacentral:rRNA from 1 species